UAACUUUGGAGUUAUUACAUUUACACCCUCGAAAUUAAUGGAAUUUCGAAUUGCCCUUUAUUCUAAUUGGUUGAUGCUUGAGUGCUUUGACUAAUUGACUGCUUUCUCACCGACUUCCUUCUCUUUCCUCCUUCUCAUCUAAAAAAAAAGCUCAGAAUUCUUAAUGGAAAACAAGGAGAGAGAAACCUAGAGAGAGAAAAUAUAUCCUCCUUCAACAAUGAUGGAGAUGAGCUCAAAACCACCGAUCAUCCUUGAAAAACCAUGGCGAUGGGCUUCGAUUCUUCUCAGUGUUUCAAUUUCAUCGGUUUUGGCAACGCGGUUGCUAAGGUUCAUUUAUCUUUCUUGUUCUGAUUGGUUCGAUACUUCGAUGUUCAUCUCCUCGAUUAGAUUUUACCUUUUAUAUGAAGGUUGUUUCAUUUAUUUCUAGGCUUUCAUGUAGUUAUGUAGUUUUUUUUAUUGAAUUUGAUUUCAAAUGGUUUCCUAAAGCAAAGAUGUUCGGAGGAAUGUUCCAGAAGAAACCAAGCAAGGAAGAAGCUUUGUCGCAGCUUUGAUCCCACGAAUUGAUGUUUGGAGCAUGGGUUGUUGCUAUUCGGGUCACUCAUUAUUUUCUUCAGUAUUUUUCCAGAAAGAGGAGAUUACUUUGUAUCUUUGAUCAACCCCACCAAAAUUAAGCGAACUCACAGGUUUAUCUGCCGUAGCAGUUUCUGAAAGAUGGAAUUACUAUAGAUUGGGAUGCUGUUAUUGAUGCUGCAAUUGCAGGUUGGUGCAAAAUAAUGCAGUGCUUGAAGUUAGUCUUGUGCUUCUAUAACAAAAAAGAAAAUUCAACUGCGUGGCCCUCCUUGACUCCAUAUCAACUAAACUACCGAAAAAGCAACCUGGAUAUCCUUGUUAGAGUAAAGAGGUUAGUCUUUCAAAUAUAUUCACUCUUAUCUCCUAUUUUUGUAUGUCAACUAUGUGUGUCGUUUCCUGCUUAAAUUUAAUGAUGGUGAGCAGGAUCGUGAUCCUUUUUAUCUGAAGUAAUAAUUAGUUUUUAUUCAAAAGAUGUGCAAAAUUAGAUCAUUGUUAGACCUUGCAUUUCUAUAAAUCUCCAUGAGUUUGUGAGGCGAUGGAUUCUAAAAGUAUAUCAAGCUCUUCUGUUUGAGAUUAUUACAAUAUACUACUCUUCUAGACUUUUUGUUCUCGAGCACUUCAAUUAAUUUACAUCUCUGCUUGUUUACUUUAUUUUCUUGAUUGUAUGUAUUAAAAGCCUGCCAAUGGCCCAAUACUCAUUAAAGCUUAGAGAGUAGUCAUUACUUUAGGAAAAUAAACCUCAUCACGAUCACCAAACAACGUAGUCAUGACCCGAAAUUGAAUAUUGUUUAUGUCAUUUGUCAUUUAUGACUUUAUCUACUCCUAUAACAAAUAAUGUGUGCUACAAAACUGACAGAAGUUUCUGAAGUGCACAUAAGGAAAUAGAUGACUUAAUGUUCCGAAGAUUCCUCUUACUUGUAAUCUUGUGAAGAAGACGGGUUCUAUGUUCUUAAAGUGUUUGAAAAGGAGGCAGACUUAUCUGCCUAAAGUUUGUCAUAAGAUAAGAGAAACAUUAUGACCUUUCCCAUAACAAAGUUAAUCUAGGAGGCAUAGAUAAAAAAAAGGACACCCUACUAUGAUUGAGUUCGCAGGUGGGCAUUACCUAAAUGCCAAAUCUGGUCGGGGGUCUUGAUGAGUUUAAGCGUCUUCUUGUAUAAAUCUUGAUGAUCUGUGAGCAAUAAUGUACCCCUCGAAUCUGUCAGCUAGCCCUAUACAACAACUGAGUUGUAAUAACUCUAAAGUUGUUGUAGUUCUCACUCGCUCGUUGUGCUUUGUUGAGUUCCAGGGGGGAAAGAGGAGAAGAUCGAGAGGAAGACAAUCUCAGAGAAGUUCUCAAGCACUCUGCUCAAAUGCUUUUGGAGCUCCAAACCUCAUAAUAAGUAUCUCUCUUGCUAAAUUGUUGCUUCUUCGUGUUUCUCUGCACAUCCUAUAUGCCUUGUUCUUGAGUAGGCUUGGGAUGAAGGCAUCAUUGGCAUUCCAGAAUAAAGCAAGUCCAAAUUUGUUCAACAAUGUCGAUUUGUUUCCAUCACAUUUCUGUCAAACUUCCAGGAUUCAACAACAAAAAGUUUUGCAGACUGUCUGGGUCUAGGAGGGAAUUGACAAUAGUCUCCAUGUCGUCAGUUGCUACUGAUGCGGUGAAGGACGUACUUGCUGCGAAUUAUAUACCUGCAGCUCCUAUACUUAUCCCUGAAGGACCUUGGCAGCAGGUUACUGAUUUCCGAAUUAUAUUUGUGUUUUCUUGUUCAUCCUGAACAACGUUAUCUAAUUUGCAGCACAUGGAAUGGUACAUGAAUGCAGUUUACUAUUUAUAUUAUUUGUUCAAAAGUGUCACUAUUUUAUAAGUUCUUAAGUGCUUCAUUGUACCAAUUCGCAUGUUUAUGAUCGUAGUUUUUGAGGGGGUUGGGGGAGUGGGGUUAGCGAAUUAGGUCAUGCUGAUCCUGAAUAUUGAGUUAAAAGGAUAGCAAGACAGAUUCUGACGUCUAUUUCCAUAUCUGAAAUGAAGAAAGAAAAGCUUGAAAUCUCAGUGUUUAGUUUCUUUUGUAGAUUUCUGGGGGAGGUACAGCUGCGAAGGGAUUCAAGGCUGCCGGUAUUUAUGGUGGUUUGAGGGCCCAAGGAGAGAAACCUCCUUACUUACAAAUUUCUGAACAUUUUGGCUAUAAUAUGAAUGCUAUAAUAAUUAACUCGAUUUCUUCCUUCAUUGUUUCAUCAUGAAGAUUGGUUGGGUGCUAUUGUUUCUACUUUUAAGGUUUUGUUCAUUUCCUUUUUUUUCGUUAUAUUUCUUGUACCUUGAUUAUGAACGAUGCUUUAAUUUCUUUCUAUGCGGAAAUGGAGGGUGACAAAUUAUUUCAGAAUUUUGGGGUGAUUUCGAUUUAGUUUGGUAAAAAAAUUGAGAUUAUAUUCCCAUGCAUCAUAAAGCUAGGGUUUUAUUUAUUUAUAUAUUUGAUUUAGAUCAUUCAGUAUCUAAUUGAUUAUUUUCUAUAUGAAGUCUGCUGGAAUAUCAGCUCCAACUAUUGGAAGAGUCGAUAACACUCAUUAUUACCAUCCUGGAAUUGUUGCUCCUCAGUAAAUUUUCAGUUUUUUUAUAAGCCCCAAAUUACUAUAAUAAUGUUGCCAUGUUUUUAAUAAAUAUGGGAAGAUAGAAUGCUUGCAAAAUUAAACAAAUUUUUCUUAUGAUUAUAAGACAAAGAGGGUUCUUAAUUCAUCUGGAAUAGAGUAACAAACCUUCUUUUGAUCUUAUAAUUUAAGUUUAUAUUGUGGAUAUUUAACCUCAUGUAAAAAUCCCAUUUUGACUUUUUUUUUAAAAAAAAAUUAUUUUUGCUUUGUUCGUGAAGAGAGUAACAGGGGAAAUGGGGAGAUUGAAUGGGAUCUGAAGUGAAAAGGUUAAUGGCUAGCGAAAGAGCAGCAUUAAAGGUCAAGAAGAUAAUAGCUACCCAAGUUCAAUGCAAGUGAAGGUUGGUCAUGAAAAAGGCUGUGAGUCUACUUUACGAAUACUAUCGGAAAGGAAUUUGAUAUAGUUCAUGAAGCAGCUCAAAUCAAACUCAUCAAAAGGUCGAGGUCUAGGCCGAGUAUCUGCUGGUGGAAACAAUUGAUUGGUUUUGUUGGGUGUUAAACUUUUAAUAAUAAAUUAUGGAUACUGGAUAAUUUUUGCCACUGUUUUUUAUUUUUUUUUUAAUUUUAUUUUUUAUUUUUUAUUUUUUUUAUUUUUUUGGUGAAGAUAAGUAGGCAAUUCAUUUCAGUGUUUUAGCUUAAGAUAGCUUUAAAAUGUCCUUGAAUAGUUUCUUGCAUUUGAUGUUACUCAAAUGGAUAUUCUAAGAAUUUAACAUUAAUCGUAAUUAGUGGCUAUGUUUUUCCAUUUGUAUGAAUGUACAUUUUCAAUU